GGCGUGCCUAAUACAUGCAAGUCGAACGCUUCUUUCCUCCCGAGUGCUUGCACUCAAUUGGAAAGAGGAGUGGCGGACGGGUGAGUAACACGUGGGUAACCUACCCAUCAGAGGGGGAUAACACUUGGAAACAGGUGCUAAUACCGCAUAACAGUUUAUGCCGCAUGGCAUAAGAGUGAAAGGCGCUUUCGGGUGUCGCUGAUGGAUGGACCCGCGGUGCAUUAGCUAGUUGGUGAGGUAACGGCUCACCAAGGCCACGAUGCAUAGCCGACCUGAGAGGGUGAUCGGCC
rnacentral:rRNA from 1 species